rnacentral:rRNA from 1 species
GUGGGGAAUAUUCCGCAAUGGACGAAAGUCUGACGGAGCAACGCCGCGUGAGUGAUGAAGGUUUUCGGACUGUAAAGCUCUGUUGUUUAGGACGAAAGUGCCUGUUGCGAAUAGUUACAGGUAUUGACGGUACUGAACGAGGAAGCCACGGCUAACUACGUGCCAGCAGCCGCGGUAAUACGUAGGUGGCAAGCGUUGUCCGGAAUUUUUGGGAGUAAAGAGCAUGUAGGCGGGAAUCUAAGUCUGUUGUGAAAAUGCGGGGCUCAACCCCGUAUUGCGAUAGAAAGUGGGUUUCUUGAGUGCAGGAGAGGAAAGGGGAAUUCCCAGUGUAGCGGUGAAAUGCGUAGAUAUUGGGAGGAACACCAGUGGCGAAGGCGCCUUUCUGGACUGUGUCUGACGCUGAGAUGCGAAAGCCAGGGUAGCGAACGGGAUUAGAAACCCCAGUAGUCC